AGGCUGUGCCACGCCCCGCCCGGCCCUGAGGGGAGCGGGGCGUUGUACUCGGUGCCCCGAGUUUUGUGUCCGUUCCGCAUCCGCCUUGGGGCGGGAAGCCGCCUCAGCUAUAGGAACGGGGAAGGCGUGGCACGAGUCCAGCGUGGAGACGGUGCCGAGGGGGCUGAGGGAUCGAUGGGUGCUGUGAGUUGGGUGAGGAGCUGACAGGCUGCCUUGAAUUCGAGGGAAACCUCCGGGUGAUUUUAUAAAUACCGACGAGUUGGCGCUUGAGUGGAACGUGCUGAGAUUUACCUCAGCGCCCAGAUUUACCUCAGCGCUGGCAGAGGCGAGCUGAGGGCGCUUCCUCUGAGCUCGUGCUGUGUCCUGUUUUUAUUUUCCUACCAUUAAAGCAUGCAAAGUGAAGCUGGGUUAAAAUUUGAAUGGUUGAAGGUGCGUUGGAAAGAAGUUAUUUCUUCCUACUUUGACACACCCAACAGACAGGGAGCUCAGAGAGAAAGCAAAGAGACCGAAACACUGCCAGGCUGGGCAGUUCUGGGGUUGCUGCAGUUGAGGCUGAUAAUAAAUUCCUGCUCAGAUUUUUCCCUUGUGAGGUGUCAUAGAGGAGCAAAAGCUGUUUGGCAGCCCAGCCUUCACUCCAACCUGCUUGGCAAGUGACAAAACUAUCAGACAGACACAGCAUACAUUAACAUGUGUAAAUUGUGCCCUUAAAUCCCAGCCUGAACAUCACUCGUGCUGUGGAGCUGUCAUAGGGAUGGGAAGAGCUUGCCAGGAUGCUGUGGAGGAGAUGAUGUUAAAGCCGCACAAAUGAGAUUAUUCCUAGGAUUUACAGGAGCAGAGUCAUUUUGUACUGACUUGCAGCACCCUGCCUGCCCUGACAGAAGGCUGUUUUCCUGCUCCAAUCUCUGCAGCCAAGGUACAGCUUAUCCUGGAAGAUGGUAUUCUGCUGCAGGGAUGGGGCCAGGCUUUGGCAGAGCAAGGAGAACACCCACAUAGGCUGCUGGAGCACUGAACUAUUCGUAUUUCUAGGGGUUAGUUGGGGGAAAAAGAAACGACACCGAACAUAGAAGUCUGGGCCACUUAAUACCUUCAGGGUGUUUCUGUCCACAGGCUAUUACCCAACUGCAGCAUGUGCCAGCCAAGACCCCUAUCCUCACUCCUGCUGCCUGCAGCUGAGCAUGAUUCAGAGCUUUGGGAGGAAUACUGUGCUUUUGGUCUGAGGCUUGUCCAACCCCCAAGUAGGUGGAAUAAUGCUAAGCUAGCACUGAUGGAGCAAAGCAUCUCCUGCUUGUACCUUUCCUGCAAUCCUGUCUGCAGAUAAAGCCACAUCCAAAGUGGUUGCUCUGAAGGCAGCACCCUGACAGAUGUCAGGCUCGUUGACGUGGUGCUGUGUCUGCUUGAUGCUACUGUGUCCCAGAUACCCAGCACAGACCUGGGUGGCAGAGAGCUGACCAGAGCUGCCCUGAGCCUCCUCCUGGCCUUGCAGGCUUAUGGCACUAAAGCACACCCCAGUAUGAGAGAUGCCUGGUUUCCCUUGCUGCUGACAUGGUGCUUCCCAACCACUUACAGGAAGCACGUGUCUCAUUUGGGACACACUGUGCAAUGCACCAUGGCGUGCUGUCAUCCCUUUUGCAGGCUCUUACAAAGCACUUCCACUAGCAGCUCACUACCAAAACAGAACAACCCAAGAGCCUGAGCUCCCUGGGACAUCUGGGUCCCCUGCAAGAGCAGAGCGGGCAGGCAGAGCCAGCAGGAUAAGAACACGGAGUCUGAGGCAGCCUGACAAAGGACUGUUAUUAAGGAUAGAGGUCCUGCAGGUUGCGAGCUGCUGGGCUUUGUUGAGAAACCCAGCGAGAUGCUGCUGGAGCUGACCCCGGGGGUCUUUGCCACUGCUGGCUGUUGCAUUUUGCUGCUUUAACCUACUCCCCCCUCAGAACUGUGGGGGCUGCUAAGAUGAUUAAGAGAUCGGAGCAUCUGCCAUAUAAAAAAAGAGCCUGGAAGAAUGAAGGCUUGGAGUGGUUCUUAUCCAUGUCUCUCAACACUUAGUGGUAGGUAAAGAAGACAGGCAGAUUCUCCUCAGUGUUGCCCAGUGACAGAAUGAAAGCCAUACUGAUCACAAAACACAGGAAUUCCAUUUAAACUAAAGAAAUGCUUUUUGUGCGAGGGUGGCUGAAUACUGGAACAGGUGGCACAGAAGUGUUCUGGCAUCUCCAUCCUCAGAAACGGUCCAAACCUGGCAUGGUCCUGAGCAGCCUGCUCAAACUAACUCCACGUUGAGUAGGGAGGAAUGGAAGGCCACGUUCACAUGUCCCUUCCCAACUCAGUUCCAUAAUUCCUUGAUCUGUUGUGGCUUGUUAUCACUGUGAUGAGAUGUACGUGGUUCCACCAUUCUGACUUCCAGCUCUUGCCUCCCUUCUCUGGGGCAGGUCAGGGCUUCCCUGUUCUGAGCACAGCUCAGCUGUGACCCUGCUCUGCCCACUGCGGAGUGGCACCCUGGUGAGGCUUCCCAUGCUCUGCAGCGUCUUGGUAACUCACACAUAGCUCAGAGAAAGCAAAAACUCCUUGCUCUGCUAAAAGAGAUGCCUGCUAUACUGUUGGUAAAACCAGAAGGUUGGUAAAACCUGAGAAACACCCAGCUUUGUCUGUCCAGAGAGCCAUCCACAGGCCAUAGAUCCCUGCCCCUUGGCACAGGGGCCAAACACCCACACAGCAACACCAACGCUCAUUAAAGGUUUGCUUUUAUUUCUGGUUUAAAAUCAAAAUUAGUCAUUCUCUGUAAUUACAUUAUAUAUAGAUUUAUAGAGACAUUAUAGAAAAGAAUUUGUUGCUUUUUUUUUCCUGCAAAAAAAAAAUU